UGUUGAAAUUGAAAUUACACAUUGUUUGCUGCGGUGAUAAAGGCCUAAUAUUUUGCAUGCAAUAUCUGGCUCAUUACAUAUAAUUUCACUUUUUAGGAUGUAGACACUCAAGACAGCUCCAGACAGGGACCAAAAAAUGAGGACUGCCCCCAGAAGAUUGGAACACUGGUCACUGUGGAUAGAGAGUGAGAUAUAAUAUGAAGAUGUCUGUCCUGAGGAGCCAGAGAGAGAGAGAAAGAGAGCGCAUGAAGAAGGGAGGAGUAAUGAUGCUUGACAGUUGUGCUGCGGUUUGGCGUGGAGUUCACAGCGUUGACGGAGGCCCAGGGGAAGAGCUCUAUUCACAGUGAAGCGAGAUGGACACUGUUGUGCUGGAUGAGGGAACAGCGGGAGGAC
ensembl:lncRNA